rnacentral:lncRNA from 1 species
CCGGGACCGAGCCGGGCCGAGCUGGGGAACAAGCCGGGGACCAAGCCGGGGACCAAGCCGGGGACUAAGGCGAGCCGGAGACCGAGCCCGAACAGCAGGGCCAGACGGGCCCAGCCAGCACCAAGAUGAGUGCCACGUCCUGGUUCCUGGUGAGCAGCAGCGGCGCCCGCCACCGGCUCCCUCGGGAGCUCAUCUUCGUGGGGCGUGAGGAGUGUGAGCUCAUGCUACAGGUUUGCAGGGGGCGCUUGGGGCCAGGAGGGUAGGGGGUAGACAGUCUGUCCCUGUAGAGGCCAGGAAGGUGCCCACCCCACUUGCUGCAGGCCACCCUGGCGAGGAGGCCGCCAUGCAGCCCAGGCUGGGCCUCUUAACUUGGGUCCCGGAUGCACCGAGGGCUCUGGGGCUCCCGUGGGUGCGUGCAGGGGUGUGUGUGUGCUCACAGGCUCGGG